rnacentral:lncRNA from 1 species
AAUCCAAUACUUGUUAAACUGAACAGCCAUUAGCUGGGCAUGGUUAUAGAGGUCAACUGCCAGUAUAGCCGAUUCCAAAUCCAAGAAGAAGAAGGUAUCUACAUCUAUACCGGCAGUUGACUUUUGCAACCAAUAGCUAUCCAGUUCAAUAAGAUCUAGAUUUAGUAUAGACAAGAGUUGCAAAAGAAAUUGAAGAACAACCUUUAGUGCCCUAGGGCUUGAAAUUUUGGUUAAAAUGCUUAUGAAAUAAUGUGCCAUCUCCAUUCGUGUGUGAUCUGAAGAAAAAUCAUCCAAAAGAGUGAUUUUAGAAAAUAAAUAUUUUUUCACACUAAACAUUUCUACCAACACUUCUCUCACUCUUAAAAUCACUGAAGCAUAAAAACUCUAGAAAUCCAAAAACAAACUCCAUAACACUUUCAUCACUCAAAACUUCCAAAUCACUCUCUCUUUCAUCACUCAAAACUUCCAAAUCACUCUCUCCUCGUCGCUCUCCUCUCUCGAAACUUCUCUUCUCUCUCUAAAAAUGCCCUAACCCUGGCGGCGAUAGGGCGUAAAAUAUCCGAGCGCACCA